UACGGGGGGGGCAAGCGUUGUUCGGAAUUACUGGGCGUAAAGGGCUCGUAGGCGGCCAACUAAGUCAGACGUGAAAUCCCUCGGCUUAACCGGGGAACUGCGUCUGAUACUGGAUGGCUAGAGGUUGGGAGAGGGAUGCGGAAUUCCAGGUGUAGCGGUGAAAUGCGUAGAUAUCUGGAGGAACACCGGUGGCGAAGGCGGCAUCCUGGACCAAUUCUGACGCUGAUGCGCGAAAGCCAGGGGAGCAAACGGG
rnacentral:rRNA from 1 species